rnacentral:rRNA from 1 species
AGCCAUGCACGUCUAAGUACAAACUAAAUGAUGGUGAAACUGCAAAUGGCCCAUUACAACGGUUAUGAUGUACCCGGGAGUUCCGAUGGAUAUUUCCAGUAACACUAGAACUAAUACAUGCUCCUGCGUUUAUUAGUUUCGCACAGUCCGUCGCUGAGUCAUGGUAAACAGUUGAUCGACUCGACGUCCCGGAACAGUUUCCGCCCCAUCAGCUUCGAUGGUUGGGUAUUGGCCUACCAUUGCAACAACGGGUAACGAGGAAUUAGGGUUUGAUUUCGGAGAGGGAGCCUGAGAAACGGCUACCACAUCUACGGAUGGCAGCAGGCGCGCAAAUUACCCAAUGCAGACUCUGUGAGGUAGUGACGAGAAAUAAUAAAGCGGGACUUCUGUUUCGCUAUUAUAAUGAGGAAUAACCAAAGGUCAUUCCGAUUAGCAACUGAUGGGAAAGUCUGGUGCCAGCAGCCGCGGUAAUACCAGCGUCAGUAGCAUAUAUUAAAAUUGUUGCAGUUAAAACGUCCGUAGUCUGUACGUCGUCCCAAACUCACUGCAGUCUUCCGUUUUCUUCAUUGAAUGCGGUAGUUUCUGCAGUCACUCCCUUGAUCAAAUUAGGUUGUUCAAGGUAGACCAAGUCUUCAUAUUUUCACAUGGAAUUGGGUGAGGGAACUUAAGAGUUUAAGUUUCUCGUCUUANGAUCAUCCGGGGUCAUUCGUACUCGUCCGCGAGAGGUGAAAUUCUUGGACCGGACGAAGACNACCAGCAGCGAAAGCAUCUGUCAGGGAUGUUUUCUGCGACCAAGGACGAAGGUCAGGGUAUCGAAGACNAUUAGAU